AGAACGAACGCUGGCGGCAUGCCUAAUACAUGCAAGUCGAACGAACUCUUCGGAGUUAGUGGCGCACGGGUGCGUAACGCGUGGGAAUCUGCCCCUUGGUUCGGAAUAACAGUUGGAAACGACUGCUAAUACCGGAUGAUGACGAAAGUCCAAAGAUUUAUCGCCAAGGGAUGAGCCCGCGUAGGAUUAGCUAGUUGGUGAGGUAAAGCUCACCAAGGCAACGAUCCUUAGCUGGUCUGAGAGGAUGAUCAGCCACACUGGGACUGAGACACGGCCCAGACUCCUACGGGAGCAGCAGUAGGGAAUAUGGACAAUGGGACGAAAGCCUGAACUCCGAGCAAUGACCGCGUGAGUGAGUGGAACGGCCGUUAGGGUUAGUAAAGUCCUUACGUUUUACCCGAGUACUGAAUAAGUGAC
rnacentral:rRNA from 1 species